GAACGCUGGCGGCGUGCUUAACACAUGCAAGUCGAACGGUGAACACGGAGCUUGCUCUGUGGGAUCAGUGGCGAACGGGUGAGUAACACGUGAGCAACCUGCCCCUGACUCUGGGAUAAGCGCUGGAAACGGCGUCUAAUACUGGAUAUGUGACGUGACCGCAUGGUCUGCGUCUGGAAAGAAUUUCGGUUGGGGAUGGGCUCGCGGCCUAUCAGCUUGUUGGUGAGGUAAUGGCUCACCAAGGCGUCGACGGGUAGCCGGCCUGAGAGGGUGACCGGCCACACUGGGACUGAGACACGGCCCAGACUCCUACGGGAGGCAGCAGUGGGGAAUAUUGCACAAUGGGCGCAAGCCUGAUGCAGCAACGCCGCGUGAGGGACGACGGCCUUCGGGUUGUAAACCUCUUUUAGCAGGGAAGAAGCGAAAGUGACGGUACCUGCAGAAAAAGCGCCGGCUAACUACGUGCCAGCAGCCGCGGUAAUACGUAGGGCGCAAGCGUUAUCCGGAAUUAUUGGGCGUAAAGAGCUCGUAGGCGGUUUGUCGCGUCUGCUGUGAAAUCCGGAGGCUCAACCUCCGGCCUGCAGUGGGUACGGGCAGACUAGAGUGCGGUAGGGGAGAUUGGAAUUCCUGGUGUAGCGGUGGAAUGCGCAGAUAUCAGGAGGAACACCGAUGGCGAAGGCAGAUCUCUGGGCCGUAACUGACGCUGAGGAGCGAAAGGGUGGGGAGCAAACAGGCUUAGAUACCCUGGUAGUCCACCCCGUAAACGUUGGGAACUAGUUGUGGGGUCCAUUCCACGGAUUCCGUGACGCAGCUAACGCAUUAAGUUCCCCGCCUGGGGAGUACGGCCGCAAGGCUA
rnacentral:rRNA from 1 species